GUCAUGUUAGACAGGUUACGUCUACUGUCAGUGUUAGUGUCACUUUUUAGCAAGAUGACCAUGCGGUCGGCUCGUCGGCUAACACGAGCUUUCGACGAAAUACAAAUAGCAGAACUUCUUAAUAAUUCGGAGUUCGAAGACUCGGAUGAUGAAGAUGUGCCUGACCUGACCUCCCUGACCUAACCUAAACCUGUCCUCGGAAUCUGAAGGUGGAGAAAUAGAAAUCGCUGUAAGUGGAGGUGGAUCUACUCAUCGUACUCAAAGUGCUCGUGACCAACGAGUUGGACAUGGCCGUGGCAGAAGUACAAGUACAAGGGCACGACAUACCGGGUAGAUUGCCUGUACCAUCAAAAAUGCGACGCUUAUAUGGCAAUAUCCACUUACCGGAACAUCUAGACAAACAACAACGAGGCCAUCUCUCUGGGUGUGACAAAAGGAGUUUAUUUAAAUGCUCUGACUGUAAUGUAGCUAUUCGCCUGAAUUCAACAAGAAAUUGUUGCAGGGCCUUUCAUCAACAAGAGAAUUAAUAAUAAGCAGUAAAAACGAUAACUUGUCGACUUUAGUUUAUAAAAAUAUUGAUCUCGUAUACUUGACUGUGAUUUUGAAAUAAGAUGUCAAUUAAACUAG